rnacentral:rRNA from 1 species
UACGAAGGGUGCUAGCGUUGUUCGGAAUCACUGGGCGUAAAGCGCGCGUAGGCGGCGACACAAGUCAGAGGUGAAAUCCCAGAGCUUAACUCUGGAACUGCCUUUGAAACUGUGUUGCUAGAGUACUGGAGGGGAGUGGGGAAUUCCUAAUGUAGAGGUGAAAUUCGUAGAUAUUAGGAGGAACACCGGUGGCGAAGGCGCCACUCUGGACAGUAACUGACGCUGAGGCGCGAAAGCGUGGGGAUCAAAACAGG